rnacentral:lncRNA from 1 species
CUCCAGUGUUUGGCAGCCCUCCUACUUUUGGGGGAUCCCCUGGGUUUGGAGGGGUGCCAGCAUUCGGUUCAGCCCCAGCCUUUACAAGCCCUCUGGGCUCGACGGGAGGCAAAGUGUUCGGAGAGGGCACUGCAGCUGCCAGCGCAGGAGGAUUCGGGUUUGGGAGCAGCAGCAACACCACAUCCUUCGGCACGCUCGCGAGUCAGAAUGCCCCCACUUUCGGAUCACUGUCCCAACAGACUUCUGGUUUUGGGACCCAGAGUAGCGGAUUCUCUGGUUUUGGAUCAGGCACAGGAGGGUUCAGCUUUGGGUCAAAUAACUCGUAAGUAUCCCCCUUUUUGAGUCUCACCUUAAUUAAAAGCAUUAAAUAAGGUUGGAAGUGUGUGGAUCUUGCUGGAUUUGUGCAUUUUCUUUUCGUUUUUUCCUGUUUUUAGAGUUUGUCCUGGAAGUGUGGGGGUUCAGCAGCAGGGUUUGGGUUUUGUG